UACGUAGGGUGCAAGCGUUGUCCGGAAUUAUUGGGCGUAAAGAGCUCGUAGGCGGCUUGUCACGUCUGCUGUGAAAACUCGGGGCUCAACCCCGAGCCUGCAGUGGAUACGGGCUAGCUAGAGUGCGGUAGGGGGAGACUGGAAUUCCUGGUGUAGCGGGUGAAAUGCGCAGAUAUCAGGAGGAACACCGGUGGCGAAGGCGGGUCUCUGGACCGAUACUGACGCUGAGGCGCGAAGGCCAGGGGAGCAAACGGG
rnacentral:rRNA from 1 species